GAUGAACGCUGGCGGCGUGCCUAAUACAUGCAAGUCGAGCGAACGGACGAGAAGCUUGCUUCUCUGAUGUUAGCGGCGGACGGGUGAGUAACACGUGGAUAACCUACCUAUCAGACUGGGAUAACUUCGGGAAACCGGAGCUAAUACCGGAUAAUAUUUUGAACCGCAGGGUUCAAAAGUGAAAGACGGUCUUGCUGGCACUUAUCGAUGGAUCCGCGCUGCAUUAGCUAGUUGGUAAGGUAACGGCUUACCAAGGCAACGAUGCAUAGCCGACCUGAGAGGGUGAUCGGCCACACUGGAACUGAGACACGGUCCAGACUACUACGGGAGGCAGCAGUCGGGAAUCUUCCGCAAUGGGCGAAAGCCUGACGGAGCGACGCCGCGUGAGUGAUGAAGGUCUUCGGAUCGUAAAGCUCUGUUAUUAGGGAAGAACAUAUGUGUAAGUAACUGUGCACAUCUUGACGGUACCUAGUCAGAAAGCCACGGCUAACUACGUG
rnacentral:rRNA from 1 species